CUGAACAAAUGCAAGUAUUACAAAAACCUUGUGUCCAGGAAUGUCUCGAAACGUUUCUGACUGAUUUCAGCAAAUAUUUUCUCUUUGCAGAACCUGGUGGUGUUGAGCGGCAUGAUAGCAGCAGUGUGAGCAGUCUGGAGAGUAAUGGUAGUCUGCCCAGUGUCACCAACCACAGAUGCAUUUCAGAACGCCGCGUUGCAUUAUGGGCUGUCAGCUUUGAGCGCCUGCUCCAGGAUCCUGUGGGUGUCCGCUAUUUUUCAGAGUUUCUAAAAAAGGAGUUUAGCGAGGAAAACAUUUUAUUCUGGCAGGCCUGUGAAUCCUUUAGCAAAAUUCCAGAACAUGACAAAAAACAGCUAUCUUACAAGGCCAAAGACAUCUACAACUGCUUUCUCUCAAGUAAAGCGACUAUGCCGGUGAACAUUGAUAGUCAAGCUCAACUUGCAGAUGAUGUCCUGACAGCUCCACAGCCUCAAAUGUUCAAACAGCCACAACUGCAGAUAUUUAAUCUGAUGAAGAUGGACAGCUAUGCUCGGUUCCUGAAGUCCACUCUCUAUCAGGAAUGCAUGCUGGCUGAGGUAGAGGGACGACCUCUCCCUGACCCCUGUCCGAUCCCAUGUAGCCCUGCCCCGUUUAAAUACAGCUUCAUCUCUGACCGUUCCACAUUCUCCCCAGCUAAAAAGGAAAACAGGAGACCCAAAAUAGGCAGGUCAAGUGAUGACCUCAGAGAGAAACAUUCCGAUAAGAAAAAUGGCUUUUUCUCAUGGUACAGAUAUCCAAGUAUUGGAAAAGGACAAAAGAAAAGAGAUGCCCCUGAUUUAUCUUACAAUUGUAAUGGGCGGAGAGAGUCUCAGGGUUCCCUGUCCUCUGGUGCAAGUCAAGAACUGAACACCUCCUGUCCCGUAAACAAGAAUGAGCAGUGUGAGUUGAGGAACUCCGAUUCUGUUUGGGAAAAGGAUGGAGAGAGAUGCAGCAAAACGUGUACCGUAACACUGCCGGAUGGCUCCAGUUGCUGUGUUCCUCUACGGCAGGGUGCUUCCAUCAGGCAGGUUCUGCUGGAGCUCUGUCAAACACAGCACAUCAACCUGGCUGCUGUCGACCUUUUCCUCACAGGAGGAGAGAAGCCUUUGGUGUUGGACCAAGAAAGUAUUACCCUUAGUUCCCGAAACCUUCGCCUUGAGAAGCGCACUUUGUUCAGACUGGACCUGGUACCCAUUAACAGAUCGGUUGGAUUGAAAGCAAAACCAACAAAACCUGUGACGGAGGUUCUGCGACCUGUGGUAGCCAAGUAUGGACUCCACCUUGGAGAUUUGGUGGCCAGAAUAAGUGGAGAGAUGGACAUUCUUGAUCUCGGAGUGCCAAUAUCCAACCUUGAUGGCCUACGAGUUGUGCUAGAGAGGGCUGAUCCAGCCAAAGACAAAUCUAAAACACCCAAUUCUAAAAUGCCAGCAGCCAAGAAAGACCUGACAAGAGAGAGACACAACAGCUCAAAGUGGAAACUGUUGAAAGGAGUUGGUGAUGACAAACAUCCUCGGCCAGGAGCGUCAGAGAGAAAGAAAGGCAAAAACAAUCACCUAGAUGAAACUGAGGAAUUGUUUGAGUUGCUCAGUCGUGCUCAGAGCAGUCGCGUCGAUGACCAAAGAGGCUUGCUGAGAAAAGAAGACCUUGUGCUUCCUGACUUUCUCUGCAUAAACCCGUAUUCUGAACCCCAACCUCACUGCUGUUCCACUCCCACCUCUCACAAACCCGGCCAUACCACCACCAUUACUCUUCCCCAACACCCCAAACCCAGUUCUUCUAAUAGACAUCCCCACUCACCCACCCAUGAAUCGCCCCCUUUCACUACCCCUCUCUCCCCCAUCUCACGCUCCUUCUGUCCUCAGAAUCAAGAUGAGGAAGGGCUGGGCAAUCUGACUCUGGUGGGGGAGGGGGAUAUCACCAGCCCAAACUCCACCCUGCUUCCACCUCCACUAAGCUCUCCGCCCCCUAAUGAGGGCAGCCUGUCUGAGGCCAACUUCACUCCACCACCUUGUGUACACAGACAACCAAGCCCAGGUACAAAGGGAAGAAACGUAUGCACUUCAUCAGUCAACCAUCAGGAGAAACAGUGUCCCAACUCAACAACCCAAGACAACUCUCCUGUGCUGGACAGUGGAGUCAAUGUAGAUGGGGUAACUUUGGAAGACAGUUUUGAGGGCUAUGCAGCUGAGCUUCGACAGUACCAGAACAAAAUGAGAAACUGCAUUUACUCAUCCAUAGAACCGUCCUGCCCACUUAGCGACAUGCUGGAAGUGAACGAGAGCGAUACAGUGCAAUAUAAAGCGACAUUUGUCUGACGGAAGGUGUUCUUUUUCCAGGUAUAAGGAGCCAAAAUGCAUACAUGUAAAAUACUGUGUUAAUAAAAUGAAAGAGAUUGUUCAUUUAUAACUUGUUAUAAUUAUUCAUACAUACAUUAUCAAUUUAUAAUAAAUAAAUGAUGAUAAUUAAAAUUACCGUAUUUAAUGUGUAUGUCAUAAUGUAUAUCAAAAGAUCAGAAUCCUUAAGGUAAGUGCAAAUGUUCUCAAAUUGGAGCUUGAAAUAAUAUUAUAUGUACUGAUUUUGAAUAUUUAACCACCAUUAAAAAUUGACAUGACAAAUUGAAAAUACUUAUAUUAGCCUGCAUAUGUAAUAAUUUAUUAAACAUCACAUUCAUAGCUUAGCAUUAUUUACAGAAAAUACACAUUCACAAAUACAUAUUUAGAUCAUACAAAUCUUCUGUAUACAAACUUCUACAUGAGACUAAUAUAGCAAAGUCAUUUAUCCAAAUACACAUAAAGAGGUCAAAGUAAGGCUAUACAGUCUCAAUUUACAAAUUAAGAGCAAUAUUUAAUCAAGAAUAAAACUAGUGAUGUUAUUUUGUACCAACUGUGUACAUACACACACACACACACACAAUUUAUGAAGAUUUAUUCACUGAAUUUCAGGUGACUUUAAGGGACCAGCACAGUCAAAGACCUUUCUCUAGCAUGAAUAAUAACGAUCUUGACAUUACCAUUGAACAUUUUCACUCCACCUUCUCGGAAACGCUAGACACAGUUGCUCCUCUGCGUUUAAAGGAGAUUAAAAAUGGCAGCCCAACACCGUGGUAUAAUGAACACACUCAGGCUCUAAAGAAAGCGGCCCGAAAAAUGGAGCGCAACUUUAAGAAAACAAAAUUAGAGGUAUUUCGUACUGCAUGGAAGGAUAGUAUUCGAAAAUACAGGAAAUCCCCAAAAACAUCUAGAUCCGCCUACUUUUCAUCACUAAUAGAAGAAAACCACAGUGGCUAAAUUAACAAAAAAUAAAUUGUCAGCGACUUCUGAUUCUGGAUAUCAGCAUAGCAGUGAUGAAUUUAUGAACUACUUCACAAAUAAAAUCAAAAAUAUUACAAUGCAACCAGAAGUGAAACCCACUGAACAAACUAACCACAGCACCCCUAAGGAGAAAUUGCAAUUAUUUUCCACCGUAGAUCACAAUGAACUGUCUAAAAUCAUUAGAUCAUCUAAAUCAACAACAUGCAUGCUAGACCCUAUACCUACAAAUCUACUGAAAGAGAUGCUCCCAGAAAUUAUAGAUCCUCUUCUUAGCAUUAUUAACUCAUCUCUGACAUUAGGACAUGUGCCUAAAGCAUAUAAGGUGGCUGUUAUAAGGCCCCUUGUCAAAAAAGCCCAACUCGACCCUAGAGAACUAGUUAACUACAGGCCUAUAUCGAAUCUACCUUUCAUAUCUUAAGUUCUGGAAAAAAUAGUUUCAACUCAAUUUUGUUCCUUCUUUCAAAGGAAUGACAUCAAUUAAGAUUUCUAGUCUGGAUUUAGAGCACGUCACAGUACAGAGACAGCUUUGAUCAGAGUUAAAAAUGAUCUGCUUUUGGCGUCUGACCGAGGUUUUAUCUCGUUGUUGGUGCUGCUAGACCUUAGUGCUGCAUUCGACACUAUUGACCGCAGCACACUCCUACAUAGACUCGAAAAUGACGUCGGCAUUAAGGGAAUUGCUUUGAAAUGGUUUAAAUCUUAUUUAUCCGACCGUUUUCAAUUUGAAGCAAUAAACAAUGAGGUGUCACGCUAAUCGCAAGUCCAGUACAGUGUACCACAGGGCUCAGUCUUAGGGCCUCUGCUCUUCGCAUUAUACAUGCUACCUCUAGGAGAUAUAAUAAAGCGACACGGAGUUAGCUUUCACUGUUAUGCUGAUGAUACUCAACUUUAUAUUUCCUCGAAACCUCAUGAAACACAGCAGUUCCAUCAAAUGAUGUAAUGCAUAGUCGAUAUAAAAACUGGAUGAGUAACAACUUUUUAUUACUAAACUCGGACAAAACAGAAGUGUUACUUAUUGGACCGAAAACCACCAUACAUAACAACCAAGAAUACUGCUUAACUAUUGACGGGUUUUCCAUAAAACCCUCGUGGUCAGCAAAGAAUCUUGGCAUUCUAUUCGAUAGUAAUCUGUCAUUUGAGAGCCAUGUCGCAAACACCUGUAAAAUUGCAUUUUUCUAUUUUAAGAAUAUAUCUAAACUACGUCAUAUGCUGUCACUAUCAGAUGCAGGGAAGUUAAUUCAUGCAUUCAUGACAUCAAGACUAGAUUACUGUAAUGCACUGGUGGUUGCCCUGCAGACUUAUUACAAAAACUCCAACUGGUCCAAAACGCAGCAGCUCGAGUUCUUACACAUACAAAAAAGUAUGAGCAUAUUAGCCCGGUUCUGUCAACCUUGCACUGGUUACCUAUAAAGCAUCGCAUUAACUUUAAAAUCUUGCUUAUUACCUAUAAAGCCCUACAUGAUUUAGCUCCUCAGUACUUGAGUGAACUUCUCUUGUAUUACAGUCCUUCACGUGCAUUACGCUCUCAGGCGUCCUGUCAGUUGGUAAAACCUAGAAUUUCAAAAUUAAGUGCAGGUGGUAGAUCCUUUUCCUAUCUAGCGCCUAAACUUUGGAACAGUCUUCCCUGCACUGUCCGGGAGGCAGACACACUCUGUCAGUUUAAAUCUAGACUAAAGACGCAUCUUUUUAAUCUUGCAUACACUACACUUCCAUAAUAUAAAUCCUCUGAGGGUUUAGGCUGCAUUAGUUAAAUCAACCUGAACCAGGAACACUUCCAAACAACAACUGAUGUAUUGUUACAUCAAAGAGUCCAGAACAGUACUCUACUCUCAGAUGUCUUGUCUCAUUGUUCCAAGGUUACCACAGCGGGCAGGAUACAUUUCAUGCCCAGACCUGAUGGUAGAGCGGAGAAUGGGAAGCGGUGACCUGACAAGAGCUGAGAUGAUAGAGCUGGAUAAAGAAAGACACGCCUUGUUGUGCAAGCACUGUCGAGCUUGUGCAGAGGCUUCAGCUUUUGCCAGAGGGGAACUGGAAUCCCCUGGUUGGGCCUGGGUUCUCCUGAGAUUUUUUUUCUCCAUUGGAGUUUUGGGUUCCUCGUCACUAUUUGCAUACUGUUUUGCACUGUUUGCCUGGCCGGGGGGCUGCUUUAGAAUUAGAAUUUUAGUUUUAUUUAAAUAAUAUUGCAUAUAGGAAUUUAUAGUCUGUUUAAUAUGUGACCUGUGUUUGUCUCUCCUUUAUCUUAAAUGUAUGCUUUUCACUGUGUGUGUGCAUGUGUGUCUGUGUGUGUGCAUGCUUGUCUGUGUGCGCAUCCGUGUGUGUGCGCAUUUGUGUGUGUAUCUAUGUCUUUGUGUGUUAGUACGUGUGCAUAUUGUGUGUGUGGAGUGUUUUGUAUGUGGUUGUGUCUGUCUUCUGUAUUUUCUACUUUUUUUGGUUUUUACAUGUAUAACUUUCAAUGUUUUGCUCAUAGUCAAUAUGUCU